UACGAAGGGGGCUAGCGUUGCUCGGAAUCACUGGGCGUAAAGGGUGCGUAGGCGGGUCUUUAAGUCAGGGGUGAAAUCCUGGAGCUCAACUCCAGAACUGCCUUUGAUACUGAGGAUCUUGAGUUCGGGAGAGGUGAGUGGAACUGCGAGUGUAGAGGUGAAAUUCGUAGAUAUUGCAAGAACACCAGUGGCGAAGGCGGCUCACUGGACCAUUACUGACGCUGAGGCACGAAAGCUAGGGGAGCAAACAGGAGUUAAGAAAACCCUU
rnacentral:rRNA from 1 species